rnacentral:rRNA from 1 species
UGGGGAAUAUUGCACAAUGGGCGAAAGCCUGAUGCAGCAACGCCGCGUGAGUGAUGAAGGCCUUCGGGUUGUAAAGCUCUGUCUUUUGGGACGAUAAUGACGGUACCAAAGGAGGAAGCCACGGCUAACUACGUGCCAGCAGCCGCGGUAAUACGUAGGUGGCAAGCGUUGUCCGGAUUUUACUGGGCGUAAAGGAUGCGUAGGCGGAUUUUUAAGUGAGAUGUGAAAACCCUAAGCUUAACUUGGGGACUGCAUUUCAUACUGGAAAUCUAGAGUGCGGGAGAGGAGAAUGGAAUUCCUAGUGUAGCGGUGAAAUGCGUAGAGAUUAGGAAGAACACCAGUGGCGAAGGCGAUUCUCUGGACCGUAACUGACGCUGAGGCAUGAAAGCGUGGGUAGCAAACAGGAUUAGAUACCCUGGUAGUCCACGCCGUAAACGAUGAGUACUAGGUGUAGGAGGUAUCGACCCCUUCUGUGCCGCAGUUAACACAAUAAGUACUCCGCCUGGGAAGUACGAUCGCAAGAUUAAAACUCAAAUGAAUUG